AACGAACGCUGGCGGCGCGUUUUAAGCAUGCAAGUCGAACGGUAGUAUGGUGCUUGCACCAUAUGAGAGUGGCGAACGGGUGAGUAACACGUAAGUAAUCUGCCUAAAAGUUGGGAUAGCCUGUGGAAACACAGGGUAAUACCGAAUACGUCUGUUAAAUGGGAGUUUAAUAGAGAAAGGAGCUAAGGCUUCGCUUUUAGAUGAGCUUGCGGUUCAUUAGCUUGUUGGUGGGUAAAGGCCUACCAAGGCGACGAUGAAUAGCGGCCUGAGAGGGUGACCGGCCACACUGGGACUGAGAUACGGCCCAGACUCCUACGGAGGCAGCAGC
rnacentral:rRNA from 1 species